CGGGCAAAAGGGCGGGACGUAGGAGAGUUGCUAAGGCGGUGACUGGAAAGCCCGGCUGACGACAUGAGAUUUUGCCCUGCCAUUGCUCCUGCUAUGACACCAUGCCUCAACACAGGCCUGAAGCAAUGGAGCUAACCCAUCAUGGACUAUAACCUUUCAAACUCAACAGAAAAUGCCAUCGGAAAACUAACAAAAAUGAAUGAGUCAUGCUCUUACACGUCUAGUUCCUUUGGAUAUGAAGAGGCAAACCAAGAACAUCACAAGCCUGGAACUGAGGUAAUGGUAACAGUCAACGAUCACAGAGGAGCUGCUAAGGUGCAAUGCAGAUGGCCUUCUUUAGAGCAGUUUUGCAAGGUAAAUCAAAAGCCUUAAGAGGCACUACCUCCAUUCAGCAAUUCUACUUCUAGGAGUUUAUUCCAUGCAAAGCAAUAUACAACAUGCUCACUUAAAGAUUUUUUUUUAAUAGAAGGUAAAAGAGACUGUAUUACAUAUAUGGGCAUGUGAAUUCAUUAUGAAGGAUGGCCAUAAUGUGUAUGCAAAGAUUCAUCAACAAAGACAUUCAUGAUAAUAACUAGUGAACAACAGGGACAGAAAAAGGAAAGAAAGAAGAAAGGAAAGAGGAGGAAGGAAGAAAAUGAUCUCAGAUGUUAAAAAGAAGGAAUUAGUUGACUAAAUUGCUAUGUAGGUAUAAAAUGUGGACACUAUGUUGUAAAAUCUAUGAAGAUCAUGUGGAAAAGAAGGUACACACUUUAAACAUUAGUAGUCAAAACCUCAGAUUUGUGGCAUUCAAAGUGAAUUGUGAAUUUUGCUUUAUUUUCUUUGUGCUUUUCUGUGUUUCUCAAAUUUUCUGUAUUAAGCAUUCAUUAGUUUUGUCACAAGGAAAAACAUAUUAUAAUAAGUAAAAAUAAAUGGUUAUGUUAGUGUGAAAAAAUAUUUGCAUCUGUAUUAGUCAAGAUUCUAAAGUACAAGUGACAGAAAACCCAGCUCAACCUGUUCUAGUAGGUGGCAAGUUGUUGUUUUACAUGUUUCGGGCAUGGCUAGAUUCAGGCCUCACACAAGGAUCCUAGUAUCUCCUGUCCAUCUCGCUUCAAUAUCACUGCAUUUUCAGAGACUCCACAUUUGGUAACAGACAUGUCCACAAAAAUAUUUAUAUGCUCCCUUAGUAAAAGCAGUUGUCUUCUCAAUAAGAAUUAAAAGUCCUAUUUUCACAGAGCACCUUAAGAUCACAUAUCCCUUCCUGCUCUAAUCAAAUGGCCCCAUGUAGGGAUUUCCCUGCCUGGUUGUACCUGGGCCAUGUGCCCAUCAUGAGAACAACGAGCUGGAGUCAGCACGGAUAGCGGGGAGUCAGAUGAGGAAGACUGGCUCCCUAAGAGUCCCCAGUGCUCCAUAAAAGAGGAGGGAGGAAUACUAAGAGGCAACAACAGCAACAAAGAAACGAAAACGCCCUGACCAUAAGACUUCAGUUUCUUUAGAUGUUGACUUGUCCUGGCUGGAGGAGAAUGCACAGCUUUGAAUCACUUAGGUCUGUAGUGAUUACAAGUGACAGAAAACAGGGACGUUAUUUCUUCACGUAACUGAAAGUCUAGCAGCAGAGCUGAGCCUAAGUGAGUCUAAGGCACACAGGAUCUGGAAUCUUUAAUUGCUCCAGUGUCAACUGGCAGCUCUGGACUCUCACCCCACAGGAACAAGCUGCCCUGGAGGCACCACACAGGACAUUGCUACAGCUCACCAUGCAUGAUUGCCAGGAACCUCUGCUACUGUUCUCCAAACAAAUCCUUGUGAUUGAACCUCUUAUGAGCCCAAAUGGGAUGACUGGCUGAGCCCUAACCAAUCAAUGUGGCUUGAGGAAGAUGUGUGAUUGGCUUAAGUCAAGGAGAGUCACGCCUGACUGGGUCAAGGAGAGUCAGUCACUCCUGGGUGGUCCCACCCAGACCACCAAUGAGAAUGGAAGAGUCUCUUCCCCAGGAAAAGCCACACUGGAGAGGGAGAAGCCAGAAAACUUUUGUCAAACUCCAGAGAAGGAUGGUGAGCUUUAAAUUCUAGCAAGUGCUCCAUUUUCAAUGGGAAAUAUCUAUCAAAAGUACCUCUUGCAGGAGGGUCAACACAGAGGAAUGAUUUCCUCCAUGCUUCCAAGCAAA